GGUUAAGUGACUAAGCGUACACGGUGGAUGCCUGGGCAGUCAGAGGCGAUGAAGGACGUACUAACUUGCGAUAAGCGCAGAUAAGGCAGUAAGAGCCGUUUGAGUCUGCGAUUUCCGAAUGGGGAAACCCAACUGCAUAAGCAGUUACUGUUAACUGAAUACAUAGGUUAACAGAGCAAACCGGGGGAACUGAAACAUCUAAGUACCCCGAGGAGAAGAAAUCAACCGAGAUUCCGGUAGUAGCGGCGAGCGAACCUGGAUUAGCCCUUAAGCGCUCGGUGAAGUAGGUGAACAAGCUGGAAAGCUUGGCGAUACAGGGUGAUAGCCCCGUAACCGACGCUUCAUCGAGCGUGAAAUCGAGUAGGGCGGGACACGUGAUAUCCUGUCUGAAUAUGGGGGGACCAUCCUCCAAGGCUAAAUACUCCUGACUGACCGAUAGUGAACCAGUACCGUGAGGGAAAGGCGAAAAGAACCCCUGUGAGGGGAGUGAAAUAGAACCUGAAACCGUGUACGUACAAGCAGUAGGAGCACCUUCGUGGUGUGACUGCGUACCUUUUGUAUAAUGGGUCAGCGACUUAUAUUCAGUGGCAAGGUUAACCGUAUAGGGGAGCCGUAGCGAAAGCGAGUCUUAACUGGGCGCUCAGUCUCUGGAUAUAGACCCGAAACCGGGUGAUCUAGCCAUGGGCAGGUUGAAGGUUGAGUAACAUCAACUGGAGGACCGAACCGACUAAUGUUGAAAAAUUAGCGGAUGACUUGUGGCUAGGGGUGAAAGGCCAAUCAAACUCGGAGAUAGCUGGUUCUCCCCGAAAGCUAUUUAGGUAGCGCCUCGGACGAAUACUACUGGGGGUAGAGCACUGUUAAGGCUAGGGGGUCAUCCCGACUUACCAACCCUUUGCAAACUCCGAAUACCAGUAAGUACUAUCCGGGAGACACACGGCGGGUGCUAACGUCCGUCGUGGAGAGGGAAACAACCCAGACCGCCAGCUAAGGUCCCAAAGUAUUGCUAAGUGGGAAACGAUGUGGGAAGGCUCAGACAGCUAGGAUGUUGGCUUAGAAGCAGCCAUCAUUUAAAGAAAGCGUAAUAGCUCACUAGUCGAGUCGGCCUGCGCGGAAGAUGUAACGGGGCUAAGCAAUACACCGAAGCUGCGGCAAUAUCUUUUAGAUAUUGGGUAGGGGAGCGUUCUGUAAGCCGUUGAAGGUGAAUCGUAAGGUUUGCUGGAGGUAUCAGAAGUGCGAAUGCUGACAUGAGUAACGACAAAGGGGGUGAAAAACCUCCUCGCCGGAAGACCAAGGGUUCCUGUCCAACGUUAAUCGGGGCAGGGUGAGUCGACCCCUAAGGUGAGGCCGAAAGGCGUAAUCGAUGGGAAACGGGUUAAUAUUCCCGUACUUCUGACUAUUGCGAUGGGGGGACGGAGAAGGCUAGGUGGGCCAGGCGACGGUUGUCCUGGUUCAAGUGCGUAGGCUUGAGAGUUAGGUAAAUCCGGCUCUCUCUAAGGCUGAGACACGACGUCGAGCUGCUACGGCAGUGAAGUCAUUGAUGCCAUGCUUCCAGGAAAAGCCUCUAAGCUUCAGAUAGUCAGGAAUCGUACCCCAAACCGACACAGGUGGUCGGGUAGAGAAUACCAAGGCGCUUGAGAGAACUCGGGUGAAGGAACUAGGCAAAAUGGUACCGUAACUUCGGGAGAAGGU
rnacentral:rRNA from 1 species